rnacentral:rRNA from 1 species
UACGUAGGGUGCAAGCGUUAAUCGGAAUUACUGGGCGUAAAGCGUGCGCAGGCGGUUAUGUAAGACAGAUGUGAAAUCCCCGGGCUCAACCUGGGAACUGCAUCUGUGACUGCAUCGCUGGAGUGCGGCAGAGGGGGAUGGAAUUCCGCGUGUAGCAGUGAAAUGCGUAGAUAUGCGGAGGAACACCGAUGGCGAAGGCAAUCCCCUGGGCCUGCACUGGACGCUCAUGCACGAAAGCGUGGGGAGCAAACAGG